rnacentral:tRNA from 1 species
GGCAGAGUAACACAGUGGUUUGAGUAUUGGACUCUAACUCUGGAGACCAGGGUUCAAUUCCAGCUCGGCCA